rnacentral:rRNA from 1 species
CCAGACUCCUACGGGAGGCAGCAGUAGGGAAUCUUCGGCAAUGGGGGGAACCCUGACCGAGCAACGCCGCGUGAGUGAAGAAGGUUUUCGGAUCGUAAAGCUCUGUUGUUAAGGAAGAACGAGUGUGAGAAUGGAAAGUUCAUACUGUGACGGUACUUAACCAGAAAGGGACGGCUAACUACGUGCCAGCAGCCGCGGUAAUACGUAGGUCCCGAGCGUUGUCCGGAUUUAUUGGGCGUAAAGCGAGCGCAGGCGGUUAGAUAAGUCUGAAGUUAAAGGCAGUGGCUCAACCAUUGUAGGCUUUGGAAACUGUUUAACUUGAGUGCAGAAGGGGAGAGUGGAAUUCCAUGUGUAGCGGUGAAAUGCGUAGAUAUAUGGAGGAACACCGGUGGCGAAAGCGGCUCUCUGGUCUGUAACUGACGCUGAGGCUCGAAAGCGUGGGGAGCAAACAGGAUUAGAUACCCUGGUAGUCCACGCCGUAAACGAUGAGUGCUAGGUGUUAGACCCUUUCCGGGGUUUAGUGCCGCAGCUAACGCAUUAAGCACUCCGCCUGGGGAGUACGACCGCAAGGUUGAAACUCAAAGGAAUUGACGGGGGCCCGCACAAG